GUUCCACUCCCGCCUCUGCCAGCCCUCAACGCCUGGCCGGGUUCUCUGCCCGUCGGACUCCCGCUCCCACCCACCGGGUCCGCCAGGCUCAGGAUCCCGAGAUUCGCCGCCCGUCGCAGCGGCCGCGCUUCGGCCCCUCAGGGCCCGGGGCUCACCUAUAGCCCGGGAGACUCCGGCGGGGCCCCUGCCCGGGCCCGGGCGCCCAGGCUGCGGCAGCGGAUGCCAACGCCUCUGCCCGAGGAGAGCGGCGGCCUCGAUGCCCCAGCGCCCUCCCUGUCCAGUUCCUGGAAGGACAGGGGCGAGGCCGGGGAGGCGCUGGAGCGGGGCCGAGUGGGCUUUCGGGGCCGCGGGUGACCUGGAGUCCGGAUCCGGCCCGCUGCGGCCAGUGGAGGCCUUUCCACCCUCGCCGCGCCCCGUGGGGAAUAGUCCCCCAUCUCCCGCCAUGGCUGCAGCAGCAGGAGACGACGUCCUCCAUUUUGUCGGGACGACUGUGGGAACUUGGGACCCCCUAAAAACCAAACCCUCUGGGGCCAGGACUUGUCCCCGGGAAGCCCCGACUGGGCUCUGCCAUUCGGCCAAGGGAACAGUCCCGGCUGCUGGCGUCUGCGUCCGCCGGGCCGUACGGGACGGGCACGACGGUGGAGAAACCCGGACGCCGCUCCCCGCCUCCGUCAACCAAGAUGGAGGGAGCUGCGGGCUCCCCUGGAGCUGGGCUCCCGCCGGCUGGAGGGGCCGAGGCCCGCCCUGGGGCGUCCCUGGGCGCCGCCGUCCUGCCCGGGGCGCUGGCCCUGCCCAGGCCGCUCUACCGCCUGCCACCGUCUCCUGGUCCUGAACGGUUGAUGGAGGCUCCCUCCACAGCCCGCUCAGUCGCGGGGAGCACCCGCUGCGGCCCCCGGGGGAGCGGCGUCAGGGACAGACGGCGCCCGGGAGGGCGGGCCCCACAGGCCAACUCCACGAGGGGUCUUCUCUUUUGUUCCUGGUCUACACCUACGUCUUCGGCGGAUCUCAUGGUGCUGAACCAUUUCCAAGACUCACGUAAAGAUGGAAGCGAUGCCGGCUUCGUCUCGCCCUGGCGGUUCUUAGUGGGAUUACAACUGACGGUGUUAGUUUGGAUAAAAGUUGAUGAAACUUACCUUAUGUCUGGAAAUAGAUAAUGUGAUUUUUGAAAAACACAUUGAGCCCCGUUUUACUAAUGUGGUAUCGUAAAGGCACAGGUUUAUUCAAUGAAAGUCAGACAUGAACCAUCUAAUGCAGGGAUGGCCAAUCUUUUGGCUUCCCCGGACCACACUGGAAGAAUUGGCUUGGGCCACACAUAAAAUAGGCUCACACUAACAAUAGCUGAUGAGCUAAAACAAACAAAAAAAACCAAAACGCCAAAGAAAAUCAUAAUGUUUUAAGAAAAUUUACAUACAUGUGUUGGGCUGCAUUUAAAGCCGUCCUGGGCCACAUGCAUCCCCCAAGGGCUGCAGGUUGGACAAGCUUGAUCUAAGACAAAAAAGCAUGUUCAUGGAUUGAUGAGAGUGCUGUGUAAGCCUUUGCAUAUUACAUAGUGCUGUAUGUCAUGGACAUGCCUAUUACCACCUACAUUUUUUAGGUCCUCAAUUACUCUUUGGAAAUAAAUGAAUUACAUGUAAUGUCAUUUUAAUGACUGCUGUAAAUUACAAGCACUGAGUACACCGGGUUCGUGGAGAAGGGCUCCUCCAUAGAGAAAAGUUAAAGGUCUGACAAACUUUAAACGGUAAGCUCAGUAGCCACAUGUCAUGUAUUUUCUGAUUAUCAUUUUUAACCACGUCUCUACUGAAAAUACAAAAAAUUAGCCGUGCGUAGUGGCGGGCACCUGUAGUCCCAGCUACUCGGGAGGCUGAGGCCGGAGAAUGCUGUGAACCUGGGAGGCAGAGCUUGCAGUGAGCAAAGAUCACGCCACUGCACUCCAGCCCGGGCGACAGAGCAAGACUCCAUCUCAAAAAAAAAAAAAAAAAA
ensembl:lncRNA